rnacentral:lncRNA from 1 species
AAUAGUGUAUGACCAAGUAAUUAAAAUUUACCCGAAAAUUAGUUUGGUUUGGAUUGGACUAAGAAUUUGUAGAUCUUUCAUAUGGUUUUGGUGUUUUGCAUAUUUUUUGCCUAUAUCUGCUCUAUUAAAAUAGAAUCUUAUUUUUAUCUACUGUAAAAAUGUUGUUAGACCAACUCAAGAAAUGAAUAUAUUACUUAAUAUUUUUAAAAAUGACAAUUCUUUCAAAUAGACAUUUUUAAGUGUUUGUCACAAAAAUAUACUUCAAAAAACAAAAUGACCAAAAUAGACUUUUAUUUUAAAAUUUAAUAUUUUUUUAGUUUUUAAAAUUUGAAAUCAUACCCCCAAAACUCCACCCCU